GGCUGCGUAUCAAAUCUACUUUUUUGGGGAAAAGUUGGGCAGUGAGAAUGAUUCAUCACAAGCGACGUGAGUUUGGAGUAUGCCUGUUUACUUUUGUAGAAGUUUAAAAGGGUAUCCUUGAAGGUUAAUCAGAGAACCACUCACAUGCCUCAAGGGAAAAACUUAAAAUGGAUAUGAGAAGUGAAGAAAGUGAUCAUAGGAGAAAAUCAUCUCAG